CAGCACUAUGCCUAGAUUGGCAUCUUGUUUUCUGACUGUUGAAAGGUUCCUUUUGUCCCUUCUGCAGAAUCCACCAGAGUCCUGCAGAAUCAAACCACAAACACCGGAGAAAAUCACUGAGUGAAAGCAGGCAUCACUGCUUCCUAGAACUGCAUGCUGUGCUUAUGCCACUAGGCCUCCAGGCAAGAAAAGUUGCAAGGAGGAUGGUACCAAGCUAAUUAAACAGGAUUGUGAGAGAGAAGGAGAUGAGUAAAUGCUUUUUGCUUUAAGGAUUUAAGGGAAAUUUCCCAAGACUGGCCAGGUGGACAGCAAUCCAGAUGAAUAAGGUUUUCGUGACUCUCACAGAAUACUUGAGUGCCUGAAAGCCUGCACAGCGGUGUGUUGAAAACUGCCGAGCCACACAAAGGAGUUUUUUAACCACUCAUUCGUGCUACUGGGAAUAGCUCAUGGCCAGACUGUGGACAGAGGGAACAACCAGGCGUCACCC
rnacentral:lncRNA from 10 species